AGAGUUUGAUCCUGGCUCAGAUUGAACGCUGGCGGCAGGCUUAACACAUGCAAGUCGAGCGGUUUAGUUAGCUUGCUAACUAGAUAGCGGCGAACGGGUGAGUAAUGCCUAGGAAUCUGCCUGAUAGUGGGGGACAACGUGUGGAAACGCACGCUAAUACCGCAUACGUCCUACGGGAGAAAGGGGGCUUUUCGGAGCUCUCGCUAACAGAUGAGCCUAGGUCAGAUUAGCUAGUUGGUAGGGUAAAGGCCUACCAAGGCGACGAUCUGUAGCGGGUCUGAGAGGAUGAUCCGCCACACUGGAACUGAGACACGGUCCAGACUCCUACGGGAGGCAGCAGUGGGGAAUAUUGGACAAUGGGCGAAARCCUGAUCCAGCCAUGCCGCGUGUGUGAAGAAGGCCUUUUGGUUGUAAAGCACUUUAAGCGGGGAGGAGGGCACUGUGGUUAAUACCCAUGGAUGUCGGACGUUACCCGCAGAAUAAGCACCGGCUAACUCUGUGCCAGCCGCCGCGGUAAUA
rnacentral:rRNA from 1 species